AUGGCUCAGGAUGAACGCUAGCUACAGGCUUAACACAUGCAAGUCGAGGGGCAGCAUUGGAGUAGCAAUACUCAGAUGGCGACCGGCGCACGGGUGAGUAACACGUAUCCAACCUGCCGCUUACUCGGGGAUAGCCUUUCGAAAGAAAGAUUAAUACCCGAUGGUAUAAAGAGUUCGCAUGUUCUCUUUAUUAAAGAAUUUCGGUAAGCGAUGGGGAUGCGUUCCAUUAGAUUGUUGGCGGGGUAACGGCCCACCAAGUCUACGAUGGAUAGGGGUUCUGAGAGGAAGGUCCCCCACAUUGGAACUGAGACACGGUCCAAACUCCUACGGGAGGCAGCAGUGAGGAAUAUUGGUCAAUGGACGAGAGUCUGAACCAGCCAAAAGUAGCGUGAAGGAUGACUGCCCUAUGGGUUGUAAACUUCUUUUAUAAGGGAAUAAAGUGAGGGACGUGUCCCUUUUUGUAUGUACCUUAUGAAUAAGGAUCGGCUAACUCCGUGCCAGCCGCCGC
rnacentral:rRNA from 1 species